rnacentral:lncRNA from 1 species
CAACCAGUUUCUGCACAGCUACCCCUCACUGUCAGAACCGGGUCAACCUGCAGACUCAUCCAGGAUCAACAUCCGUCCUCAGAGAUACUUUGAGGAGGUGACAGCAGCUGUGUCAGAGGUUAGUGAUAAACUCCAGGAUCUUCUGACAAAGAUGUGGACAAACGUCUCACAGGCAGUGACUGAAGUGGAUGUUUUACUGUUAGAACCAGAACCCAAGACCAGAGCUGAUUUCCUAAGAUAUUCACGAAGAAUCACACUGGAUCCAAACACAGCAAACAGAUAUCUGAUAUUAUCUAAAGGAAACAGAAAAGCAACAUUAACAAGACAACGACAGUCUUAUCCUGAUCAUCCAGACAGAUUCACUUAUUAUGAUCAGGUCCUGAGUAGAGAGAGUCUGACUGGACGUUGUUACUGGGAGGUGGACUGGAGAGGGAACAGGGUAAGUGUAGCAGUCGCAUACAAGACGAUCAGCAGAGACGGGGACUCAGAUGAUUGUUUAUUUGGAGGAAAUGACAAAUCUUGGACGUUAGACUGCUCUAAAGACAUUUAUCAAUUUGUUCACAACGAAGUCCUCACUGAUGUCUCAGGUCCUCUGUCCUCCAGAGUAGGAGUGUACCUGGAUCACAGAGCAGGUAUUCUGUCCUUCUACAGCGUCUCUGAAACCAUGACUCUCCUCCACAGAGUCCAGACCACAUUCACUGAGCCGCUAUAUGCUGGACUGUUUUUCCUGUCUUUUAAGCACCGGUCUGUUGGAGCCUCUGCUAAGUUUAUUGAACCCAAAUAAAGAGAAUUUUGAGUCCAUCAGACCAAAAACAUGUAAUGAGAUCAUUGAACACUUGAAAUGUUCUGGUUUGUAAAUGUUUGUGGAUCAGUCUCACCAGAAACUUUCGGUUUAGUUCUUCAUUUCAGCUUUUUCAUUCUUUUGUAGCAAUCAAGACAACCCUGGGUGUGAAACUCACACAUUCCUCACAGGAAAGUUUCCUUAUCUGGUCCCUCGGUCGUAAAACCCUGCUCAACCAUGUUCUGAUAAAAAACUGCAUUCCUUUGAUGAAAGAAUACAAAUGACUGAUCAUGACAUCUUAUGUAUUCAGCAAUGUACUAAUCUGUCCAAUCAUGAAAUUUGUGUUAAAAUGAGAUGUUUCUCAUUGUUCUAUGUGCUCCAGAAGCUGAGUUAUCACUCUGACAGAAUAAUUCCUUUGUUCUUUAGUUUCUUUAGACCAACAGCUUUUCAGACUGUUUCCUCAACUUUUAAGAGUUACAUUUAUUGACUAUGGAUCAUAAGUUUCCUCUAAGUAACAGAAAUAGUUUAGAAAUGUUUGGUUUAUAUUUUAGUUGUUUAUUUAGUAUUUUUAACCAUUAGGUGGUUAUAAUGUCAUUGAAUAAUCUGAAUGUGAGUAUUUAGAAUCCAUUAGUAAUCACGAUGAAGUUCAUUCACAUGUAUUUACUCUUUUGUUGUUCACAGUUUCCAUGUGUUACUCUCUGUUUCAUUUCAGAGUAAUUUAGCAUGUUUAAUGUGAUACUUGAAACAUAAUGAGAAUGUUUGAUGUGAUCCUACAUUUCUUUAUAUGUGUUUAGUAUCAAAUUAUUUAUCAUGAAACCAAGCAUUCAAUGAUAUUAAUCAUAGUGAGUGAGUAUCAGAUCUGACUCUUUUACCAGCCAAAAGUAUAUGUUAGAUCAAAUAAUCAGAGAUCUGAGGUCUCCUCUGCUUGGAGACCCCACGACCCCUCCUCUUUCUCUUCACACACACACGCCAGAGACACUCCCAGUGUGAGAAGAUAAAACCAGAAAGGGGGGGGGUGCUCACGUUGCUUGUUCCCUUUGUACUCUUGUUGCCUCUCUUCUAUUUUUGCUUUUCUACUCUUAAGUUUUCGUUUAGCUUUUACUACUUAGUCUUACUUUUUCUUAGUCUUCUAAGUUUUGCGUUGAUUCACGUUGAUUUUCUUUAACAUCGUCUUCGUUCAAGUUUUGAAACUUCAACUUUUUGUGCGCAUAGCAAUUCAAGAUUAAGCCUUUGAUUGAUUUUUCUUUAAUUUCGCGAAGCCAUUUUUGAAAGUUUUCUCUGGUCAUCGAGCCUCGUUUUUCUGAGUUAUCUGCGAGAUUUCAAAGUCACCUCUGAACACAACCCAGCAGGCCCGGGUCAUCCUCUGCGCCAGAGUUUUUGAGUGAGACCAAAGAAGCAUCCAAACGAGCAUCCACAGGAUCCACAGGCGCCGGCUUUACUUCAGGCCCGAGUGCUACGACUCCUGGCCCAUCCUUCGGCUGACUUCGGCCGGUAGCCCGGACCUUCGGAACCUGCUCCAUCUUCUCCAAGGACCAGUCUUACUUAAGUAUGCAGACCUCCAGAGCUCCAAAGAGGGCUGAUGCUGUCUCAUGCGGUCAUAACUCAGAUAUCCACUUAUUCUGGUAAUCUUGGAUUCCUCCAAAUCCACAUCCAAAUUUACCUUGACACCAAAGAUAGUGUAGGUUAAUAUGUUCGAGCAUAUUCACUCACUAUCAUUAACUUUAGUGCUCCUAGCCUGACUUAGAAUCUUUAUUUGUUCACCUAUUAUUUUUUAUCCUCAUUAUCUUAUCAUUUAUUGCAUGUGUGUUGUACCAUCAUUUAUCCUGUAUUAAACAUCAUUAUUUCUAAGUUCUGGUCUUUUAGUGUUCUUCCAGAAGUGGAGUCCCUGAAAUGAGAAUCUCAGCUCAAGGUAUGAGAUUGAUUAAUUUAAGAUUUGACUUGAUGUUUGAUUUCUGAAUUAAACUUUAGUUUUCUUUAUUUUUCCACCAUUAAGGGUGGGUGGUGCCUCUUUCAACGAGUGCAUAAAUGUCAUAACUUGAGAUUAUUAAUCCUCAGACAUUUAUUAUAAAUUCAAAUCGCUACACUUUUCUAAAGAUGCUGAUUUGGUCGCAGCUUUAAGGACAGUGAUUGUGGAUAACUGAUUGUAUUUCUCAUUUUGAAAAAUCUUCAUGAAUUUUGAUAUCAACAACAUCAAGAUGAUCGUUUGUUCAAAUCACCUUCAGUUGGUGCAGAUGUUGAAGGUCUGAGACUUUAGAAAAAACUGACGUCAAAAUAUUGAAAGAAAGAUAAAAAAGGACGACCUUAUUUCCUGUCCCAAAUCCAAGCGUCUAAAGUCUUUCCAGUCGUCCCCAAAAACUCUUCAGAUGAUCUGUUUCUUUCUCUGUUUGCUGAAUAUUUGUGUUCAUGUGAUCGAUGGAUAUUUCUGUCUGCUUCUGUUGGAUCAGUGUGUUUGUAAAGACAUCUAGAAUGAGACUUUUAGCAGAUCAACAUGUUAUGAGCUUUCUAAUCACUUUUAUAAUAAUCACAUAUAUUAGUCCGACUGUUUUUCUGUUUCUGACUCAGCUCAGAUUGUGGGUGAAAACAAUAAAAAUCAUCAAGUUGAGUCACUGAAAGCACCUAACCUGUUUUUCUUUAUUUGGUCUGUUUCUGCUGGAUGUCAUGUUACAGGUCUUUCUGGGUCAUGGAUUCAUGUGGUCUGCAGGAUUUCCAUGAUGUGGUCACUCACAGGUGUUACAGGUCCUAGAUGUGGGUCCUGCAGCUGGAUCAGGUUUUCUGUAAGUAAGAGUAAUAAUCUUGAAAGAGAUUUAAGGUGUAUAUAUCAAGACAAGCAUUAUUAAAUCAUUAUUUGUUGCUCUGAGUAGUUUAAGAGUUUUGUAGCUCUGCAUUUUAUUUUGAAAGGUCCGCGGACUUCCGGUGUUACUUGUCACGACAGUUGUGUCCGAGUUUGGCAGAAGCGAACAGUCCAUUGGUAAGAAAUAACCUGCUAACAAUGUGUAGCCUCUGAAUAUAUAACGCUUUGGUGCCUAUUUCAUUGUCCUUGGAGAGAAAUAAGAGAAUGUUGAAUUAGAGAGUGUAAUUAAGUGUCCGUGGUUAGCAUUUGAUUAGCGCCGCUAGCUUCCGUUAGCAUUUUCUCUAGCUCCCUAUUAGCAUGCAAGGCUAACUCCAUUAGCAUUACAAGCUAGCGCUUAGCUGGCUGUUAUUAGCAUUUAGCUUGUAAUGUAAGCUGCUACUGUUGGUACUGUGAUACUGUGUUUAACCAGUUAGGUUCACUGUGUUUAUUGCAGUUAUACAUAAAAUGAGACCAUGAGGACCAGAAUAAAAACAUAAAAUAGGUAAGAAUAAGAAAUGUAUUAAAAAGGGGGGUUAAAAGCAGGAUACAGGGUAGUAAAUAUAAAAAGACAAUCUUAAUAAUGAUAAUAAAAUAACAAAAUAAUAUGAUCAUAAUAGUAAUGAUAAAAUAGAAUAAUAAAAAUGAGCAAGAAAAAAAACUAUCAAUAUAAGGCCUGAUAGGUUAAAUAAGAAAAGAUUAUAAGUAUAACAAAGGCUGAAAAGACAGUUAGCAAAAAUAAGAUUGCGGUAAAAGAGAAAAGACCUGUGUCACCUGUGUGGUCAAAAAAUAAAAGAAGUCCAAGAACAAAACAUUAGUUGUACCUUGAGUGUGCUUCCUGUCAAGCCUUUUCGGAGGGCUGAGUAUUUAAAAUCCGAUCAGUAUAUCGAUGUGUGUGAGUGCUGAUUGAGUUGAAGUUAAACUGCACUUUAAGUUUCAUAUCUUCUUUAACAGAUCACAACAUGACAGCAUCUUAAAACAGACUGAAUACAAACACAUAUACUGAACGCUCCUCUCUUAAGGAUUAAACAGGACAAAGCACCACCUGGCAGACAUUCUUCUGAGGGAAAGUGAACAACAUGAGAAACUGCAAAAAUAAUUUUAGAGAAUUCAGAAACAUAACAUGACACCCAAGAACAUGCAACAAAAUACAAACCUGCCUCAUUAGACACACAUACACAGAAAUAUGACACUAGUUGGAAGUGUUUCAGUGAUCCAUGAGGUGAAUAAAUGUUGGUUCAGUUGAUCUUCAGGACCGCUGCAGCUUUAAUAACCUCUGCAUGUUGGAGUUUGAGAGUCUUCCUCUUGUUCCGUUUCUUCUUCUUCUUCUUUAUUUAUCUCAAACUUUAAGAACUACAACAACAAAAAACAACUAGAAACAAAAACACCAAACAAAAUAAUAAAUAUGUACACCAAACAACUGUACAUGUCAAAGAUAAAUUAACACAACAUAUGUAUUAAGGCUGCACGAUAUUGGAAAAAAAUAAUAUUGCGAUUUUUUCAACCCUGCGAUAUAUAUUGCGAUAUUAAAAAUACAGUAUUUUCACCAGAUGACCUGAAUAGCACUUAAUGUCAUGCUGCACUGCUGAAAUCUUGAGGACAGUUAAUCUGCUCUGAUCUUACCUCUUUUUGUGAAUGUUAGUAGAACGGCUUCUGUCUGUCUCAGAGAUAUUUUUAGCUUUUAUUGUGCUGGGACGUUAUUGUGGAAACAGAUGAACACAGAAGACGUGUUUUGGUCGACAUCAUCCUUUUUUAACCGAAAUAAUUUAAGAUAACUGACUUUCCUUUUCUUUUUGGCAACAAAUCUUCAUUUUCGGUGGUUUUCGCUUGUUCGUUGUUCAUUUUGCGAUCGUUGUUGUUGUUGUUAGCGGUGCUGUACCGAGAAACGCAUGUACUCCGAGAAUUGCAUGCACCUCGCAAAACGCGCACUGCUUAUAGUAGAGUGAUUCACGGAAAUGUACAAUUUAAAACCCAUACAGUUCUUAUUUGUUGGGCUUAAUAGUCAUGAGUAAAGUUCCGAAAGUAAUUCUCAGCGGACACGCGUCUCCCUCCAUGUGCAGAACAUGUGCAGGGGUGGGUUUUCUCCUCCCUGAUUUUGAUUGACAGCUGGCAGGGUAGUCUGAUUGGCAGCUGAGAAGUGAGUCUGACUGGCAACUGAGUUAAGGACGAAGGCGAUUGGUGGAUCGCUGCACAGCACAUGCAGAGUCACAUGGAGUGUAUCUCAGUCGGUUACUCUUGAAAUUAAAUGAGUUCAUUCACCUCCAAUAUCGCAGGCUCUGCGAUGUGACUAUCGCACACACGUACAUCGCGAUGACGAUAGUCAAACGAUAUAUCGUUCAGGCCUAAUAUGUAUGUCAAAAUGUACAGUUUGGGAAGGAACAGAAUGAAGCAAAGACUUAAUCUAGUCCUGCCUCUUCCUAGCAAAUUAGAAAUUAAAAAAAAAGAAAAAAUCUAUUUUAAUAAAUUACAAAGAUCUGUAUAAAUACCUACAUUUUAUACACCAAGUGUAUAAAGUUAAAUCAAUAGUCUAAUAAACAACAAACAACUUACCUUGGUGCAGAUAAAGGUAUUCUUCGUAACGUUCCUCAGGUAACGCUGGUUAUGUGGCCGGCCACAUAACUUAUACACAGCAUGCACUUUUCCAAGGCACGCUUCGGCUUCAGAAGAGGAAUAAAAAAUGCCCCAUUCAAACGCUCUGGGUACCUAGUGUCGCUGUUGCAGGUCCCCCAGCAGCAACGUUUCACCAUGGUGGUAAUAUAAUAUGAAUCUUCUUGAUAUUAUAUUGUUAAUCAACUUCUGAAAAAGCCCUAAAUAACAUGUGAUUUAACGAGUGAUGUGGCCAUGAUGUCCGACUCUUGUUUGCUACGCUGUGAUUGGACCAUCGCAGUCUGGGGGCGGAACGUACCGAAGAGUCUAUCGGACAGAUACAUUUAUGUUCACUCCUUAGAUUAUAGCCCCCCUCCCUGGUUUUGAACAUCUUUUGUAGAUUAGCAGGUAACUUACUUUGUGUUACUUUGUACAGCACUUGAUCCGUUUUAUAAUUGACUAUGUCAUUAAAUUUUAACAUUUCUGAUUUUAGGAACAGAGGGCUGGUGUGAUCUCUGUAUCCAGCAUGAUUUAUGGUCCGGAUGACCUUUUUUUGUGUUUAUCUUUUGUAGAUUGGUCUUGUAUGUGUUUCCCCAGAUUUCAACACUGGGGAAAGGCAGGAUCAUGGAGCAGUAGAGUGUGCGUUGUGAUUUUUGUGGUAAUAAAUUAAUUUGCUGAUAGUUCCGAUACUGGUGAUUUUUUUUGGUAUCAGAAGAAGAAAGAGAGGAAAGAAAAAGAAAGAGGGGAGGCAGCUGUUGACUGCUUUCUUUCCCAAAGGUGAAUCCAGUUUGUUUGUUCUGUAAAGUCCAGUUAAAGUCAAGUAGGACUCUAAACUUCACAUCGCCGCUGCUCUCCCUGAAUUAUACAAGAGCUGAAUUUCCCCUCCCUCGUCUCUCACACAGCUCACUCCACUCUGCACACUCACUUCCUUGCUCUCUUCACUUCCUCUUUCCCUCCCCUUCAGAUCUACAGUUGUAACUAACGUGUGCUGAGCUGAUAUCCUGCUGAAACACAUGUUGUUGAGAUCAGAGCUCAGACUAGUUUCACUUCUCAGGAAAUAAAACUCAGUCAGUUGUUGUCAACAGCGAGUGUUGAAAUGGCGCAGAAGGGAGUUCUUCUGGACCGUGAGUCUUUCUCUUGUUCCAUCUGUUUGGAUCUUCUGAAGGAUCCGGUGACUGUUAACUGUGGACACAGCUUCUGCAUGAGCUGUAUUCAAUCCUACUGGGAUACUGAGGAUGAGAAGAAGAUCUACAGCUGUCCUCAGUGCAGACGGACCUUCAGACCGAGGCCUGUCCUGAUGAAAAACACCAUGUUAGCAGGUUUAGUGGAGGAAGUGAAGAAGAGUGGACUCCAAGCUGCUCCUGAUGAUCCCUCUGAGGCUGGACCUGAAGAUGUGGCCUGUGAUUCCUGCAGUGGGAGAAAACUGAAGGCUGUCAAGUCCUGUCUUCAAUGUCUGGUUUCUUACUGCCAGAUUCACCUCCAGCCUCAUUUUGAAUCACCUUCAUAUAAGAAACACAAGCUGGUGGAGCCCUCCAAGAACCUCCAGGAGAACAUCUGCUCUCGUCAUGAUGAGGUGAUGAAGAUCUUCUGCCGCACUGAUAAGAAGUCUAUCUGUCAUCUCUGCUGUUUGGACCAACACAAAGGUCACAACACAGUCUCAGCUGCGGCAGAAAGGACUGAGAGGCAGAAAGAUCUGGAGGAGAGUCGAGAAAACAUCCAGCAGAGAAUCCAGGACAGAGAAGAAGAUGUGAAGCUGCUCCAACAGGAGGUGGAGGCUAUCAACGGCUCUGCUGAUAAAGCUGUGGAGCACAGCCAGGAGAUCUUCAGCCAGCUGAUCCGUCUGAUGGAGAAACGCCGCUCUGACGUGGAGCAGCAGGUCAGAUCCCAGCAGGAACGUGAAGUGAGUCGAGUCAAAGAACUUCAGGAGAAACUGGAGCAGGAGAUCACUGAGCUGAAGAGGAAAGAUGCUGAUCUGCAGAAGCUCUCACUCACAGAGGACCACAACCAGUUUCUGCACAGCUACCCCUCACUGUCAGAACCGGGUCAACCUGCAGACUCACCCAGGAUCAACAUCCGUCCUCAGAGAUACUUUGAGGAGGUGACAGCAGCUGUGUCAGAGGUCAGAGAUAUACUCCAGGAUCUUCUGACAGAGACGUGGACAAACGUCUCACAGGCAGUGACUGAAGUGGAUGUUUUACUGUUAGAACCAGAACCAGAACCCAAGACCAGAGCUGGUUUCUUAAGAUAUUCACAAAGAAUCACACUGGAUCCAAACACAGCAGACAGACGACUGUUAUUAUCUGAUGGAAACAGAAGAGCAACAUUUACGAAACAGCUACAGUCUUAUCCUGAUCAUCCAGACAGAUUCACUUACUGUUCUCAGGUCCUGAGUAGAGAGAGUCUGACUGGACGUUGUUACUGGGAGGUGGACUGGAGAGGGAAUGGGGUUUAUGUAGCAGUCGCAUACGAGACGAUCAGCAGAGACGGGGACUCAGAUGAUUGUUUAUUUGGAGGAAAUGACAAAUCGUGGACAUUAUACUGUUCAAAAGAAAGUCAUGUAUUUGUUCACAACAAAGUCCUCACUGAUGUCUCAGGUCCUCAGUCCUCCAGAGUAGGAGUGUACCUGGAUCACAGAGCAGGUAUUCUGUCCUUCUACAGCGUCUCUGAAACCAUGACUCUCCUCCACAGAGUCCAGACCACAUUCACUGAACCUCUACAUGCUGGACUGUGGUUAGGCUGCAGUGAUGGAGACUCUGCUGAGUUUGUAGAAGUGAAAUAAAGAGAAUUUUGAGUCCAUCAGACCAAAAUCAUGGACUGAGAUCCUUGAACUCUUGAAAUGUUCUGGUUUGUAAAUGUUUGUGGAUCAGUCUCACCAAAAACUCUGGGUUUAGUUCUUCAUUUCAGCUUUUUGAUUCUUUUCUAAAGAUGCUGAUUUGGUCGCAGCUUUAAGGACAGUGAUUGUGGAGAACUUUGAUUGUUUGUAUUUCUCAAGUUGAAACAUCUUCAUUAAGUUUGAUAUCAACAACAUCAAGAUGAAUAUUUGUUCAUCAUCACAUGUGUUUGUAAAGACAUCUAGAGUCAGACUUUGGACAGAUCUACAUGUUGUUAUGAGCUUUUCAAUCACUCUAAUAAUAAUAAUCACAUUUAUUAGUCCGACUGUUUUUAUGUUUCUGACUCAGCUCAGAUUGUGGUCAAGUCUCUGAUUGUGGGUGAAAACAAUAAAAAUCAUCAAACUGAGUCACUGAAAUCACCUCGUCUGUUUUUCUUGAUGGUUUAGUGUAACGUCAGUGAGCCCAGACUGAAUGACCUGAGGGUUAGACAUUAUACUGCUUUCUUGUCUGUUGACUGCUUUCUUUCCCAAAGGUGAACCCAGUUUGUUUAUUCUGUCCAGUUAAGUCCAGUUAAAGUUAGCG